GAAUGUAUAACUAAUUUAUGUCUGAGUCAAAAUUCUUUCACAGGUUUUCUGCUGUUGCAGCAGCAGAAGGGGAAACAAUGUCUUGCAAUCACUGUUACUAUGUAAGCUAGUAAAUGAAUAAAGCUGGAUUUGACCUCACAUUCCAGAUCUAGCACUCUAUUCAUUGUGCCAUUCAGCUGGAAACUAUCUGAAGCCAACUCACUGAACUGUUAUAUAGCCCAUAGCUCUACAUCUUUUCUACAAGAGGAGAAGAGUGAUAUUAUCAAACACUUCGCUGAAAUCUAGGAUUUGGUAUCUCUUCCAUUCUUCAUGCUCUUUCAAAAAUUCCUGAUAGUGGAUCAGCAAUUCUAUCUGCCAGAACUUUUCUCUACUCCUGGUCACUUGAACUCAUAAAGGGCAGCUACAGUAAGUGAUAUCUAAUUAUCUCCCAGUACUGCUGGUGUGCACUCUAAAAUCUCUCUGAAGAACUUUGAUAUCAGUCGUGAGACACAGGAGAUGCUGCUGCAGGACCAUCAGCACGGUGUGCCUGUAUCACAGAAGAUGCUAUGUUCUAUGAACAAAGCAGAAUUGCUAUAGGUCAAAAGAAAUGUGAGAUAAACAAGUUGAGAGAGGUGUCCAUUCCAAAUGUUCAUAUGGACCAUUUGCACCUGACCUGUUGCAAAGACUUUUGAACAGUCACAGUUGGACACAAGAUAAGUGUGCACAAAGACACUUGUGCGUGAAGGAGAUUUAAGUGGAAAAGUCGAUGCACAGGGACGGUCCCACUCUCUCGGCAUUGGAAGCCUGGGUCCAGUGGCACGAAAAAUCAUUACACCUGGAGACUUCCUCAGCUGCAUUGGAUGACUGUGUUGUCUUUUGUGCUCCAACACGCCCUAAGCACUCCACAGUGCUUUGCUGAGUUGCCCUCUCAGCCGUUGAACCUUCUUAUUGGUUUCUUCCAUGUGUUUGGCCGAAGCAGUCUUCACAUGCUGGGUGAGCAAAAGAGACAAGCACCUCCCCGUCGGGGAAUCGAACCCUGGUCUCUCGCGUGACAGGUGGGGAUACUUGCCACUAUACUAACGAGGACAGCGAUAGUAUUAUUGUUGAGAAUCAGCCUGUCUUUAUCCAGAAUGACUCAUAACAGAUUAAAAAGAUUUCUUUUUUAGAAAGAUGACAGGUUAUUAGAUUGGCGAGAGGUUAUUAUGGUAUGGCGAACAGAAAACUGAUUGCUAGAUCAAGAAGAUGUGGAUUCAGGUUCAGCCACUGCCAUAUACUGGCUGUGUCACUGUGACUCAGAAGAUACCUAUGCCCCAGGAAACUAUACUGUAGACCUGUGUUGGCGAAUCUAUGGCAUGACUGCUGGAGGGGGUGAUCCCCUCUUCCCCCUCUCUACCAUACCUGAUGAUAUUUUUUUAUAUUACCCACCUUUCUGCCUAGCAGGGGUAAGGGAGGGGGUGGCUCAUAUGAGGAAUGAGGGAGCAGUUUGGGCACUUGGUCUCUAAAAGGAUCACUGUUAUAGACAAUAUACAUUGCAUGACCCACAUUUGUGGUCUCAUUGGGAAUAUCUCAUUGACUAUUCUUUUCACUGACCAAACAAAGAUCUGAAAAGAAAAAAUAUACAAAAAAGUUAAAAAACUAGUAGAUCAACUGAAUAUUGUAAAUAUAGUAGAACUAGAUGGCUAUGAAAUAUUUUACAAACUCUUUUGAAUUAUUCCUUUGAACAAAAGGAAGAAUUGUAGGGUUAUAAGUAAACUUGUUAAAAGUCAAUAUAAAAGAGUCAUAAUGGGUAGAUAUUACUGGGGAGUUGAUUUCUGGUGCAAUAUUUUAGGGAUCUGUCUUUAACUCUGUGUCAUUCAGAAUUUUUAUUUAUGCUUUUAAUGAAGGUAAAGCUGGCAUACAAAAGACAUUAGAAAAGAUAUUAGAAAUUAAAAAGGAUAAACAUUUUGGAUGAGAGAAUCCAAAAGAAAGAGAUCCUGAAAGGAAAGGAAAGAUGGACAAACUCUAAUCAUUUAAAAUUGAAUAGGGUUAAAUGUAACGUUCUAUUCUUCAGUUCAAAGAAACAUUACAAGUCCAUGAUACAAAACAAAGCUUCAUCUGAGAAAAAGAUGUGGGAGUCAUAGUAAACUUCAAGCUCAAAAUAAGUCAACUGCAUGACAGUAAAAAGGCUCAAAGGCUAAUGUUAUCCAAGUGUUUAGUAUAGAAGGAAGAAAGCUACUCUGAUCAGGCCACAUUUAAAAUAUUGGGUUCAGUUUGGGUGCCCAUUUUAGCAAAACAAUUGUUACCCCGAAGAGAUUCCUGUAUGGCCUUGUCUUAGUCUUUCAGAUGGCCUAGGUCCAAGAGAUGUUACAGCUCUGAUUUAUAUUACUAUGGAGCUACUCAAUUCAGCACUCAUGUUCUUUAUUUAAGGUUUUGUGACUAAAGUGUGAUAUGAAAAUUAUUGCCAAAAUACAUAAGAAUAAUUGAGUGAUCAGUCUUGUAGGCAUAUGAAAGGCUUGUUUGAGGGUAUGGAAAUUUGUUUCUGGAUUGCUGAUGAGCAGAAUUUCUCUCAGCUGAAAUGGGUGAGACUUGUAUUUUAAGGAAAAAGAAGGCUUCUGGGAUCUAAUGGUGACAAAGUACACAAAGGACAGAGAACGUCCUGGGAUGGUUACAGAGGCAUAUUCUGGGCUCACCUGGGAAUGGACCUUUUCUGGCCAUCUAGGCUGUUAGUCCUUGAGUGAUACAAUGAUGACGUGAACCAAUGAUAGCUUUGGCCUGUACAUGAAGCCCUCACUAUAUGUCCCUUGGGAUGUGAGGAAAUGUUUUCCCUGUCUGCCUUCUCUUUUGUGACAAAAUCCCAUAAUCAGCACAUAAUGCAAAUUGUAAAAUUAAAGUUUCCAUUUCCCCAAACAACCUAUUAGGUUAAUAAUUAAAAUUAUCAAAUUGUUAACAUACUUUGAGAAUGAGGUAGAGUUAUUAAUGCCCAAAUUGAAGUUUGGAUUUUAGUUCAGAAAUAACUCAAAGUUUUCUAGAUUUCCUUCAGGAUAUGGUGUAAAGAAAUUAAUUUUUGAAAUAUUGUUAUUCAGGUGGUUAUAGCUGCUCUGUAAAUGGGGGCUUUGCAAAAGGAUAUUGUUUAACAGAAAUGUCACAUUCCUGUCAGAGGAUGAUUUCUGGAGAUGAAGUCUGCUGGCUAAGAUACCCAAAUGUUAAUGUUUAAUAUAAAUUUCUCUUGUACUAAUUUCCUCUGUUUCUAUCUGGUAUUUUAGUUUUUGCCCCAGUACUGGUUUCUAUACUUCUGCUCCUCCCUCCUGAGCAGUCUGCCAAUCAAGGGAGGUCUUCAAGCCUUCAGGACUUCAGCACUGCUUUGGACAUGCCCCUGAAGACUCCAUGCCCACAGCCCCUUCCUCCUCCUCCCAGGGACUCUACACCCCUUAUCAGCUAUGAAGAAGCUACAGAAGACUGAGACCAUCACCCCUUUUCCCUUAAAUAUGUGGAGGAGGAAUAGGAUGGCAUGGGACAUUGUACCCCCAUAGUGUAGAAGUUUUUCAGGCAAAAUAUAGGCAGGAAAAUUCCUUUGCUCCUACUAUAUACUCUUGACACCGAGUCAAAGGUUUAACUCCGUUCAGCAUUGUCACUGCACCUAACUCUGACCCCUGUGAGAUCUGGUACUGGAAAGCCCCUCCUGGUACAUGAUUGGUCCAUACCAUGGGUCUCAUGCCUUGUCUAUCCCCUCAUACCUUAAGAACAAAGGAUGCUGCAGGUAACCCCAUAAUUAUUUUUCCCCAGGUUUGCUAUUAUUCAGGAGAAGGUGGUAGAGAACAUUUUGAAGGGAUGCAGACUGGUGAAUACCUGGUAGGCCUUGUCCGGCAUGUAGAGCACCCAUUCUUAUGCCAAUUUUGGUAGGGCUGAAUAUAGGAGAAACUUCGGCUUUAAGCACUGCAGCCCUGGUUCAGGGAAGCCAAAAUCUCCAGUCCUUCUCUCACCAUAUUGACAUCAGUGAAUUGGAAACCUCUAUAAUUUCUUGGAAAAAUCACUGUCCUCUCUGGCAGAGAUGGUUCUCCAAAAUAGGCGGAGAUUGGAAUUCCUUUUUCUUUAAGGAGGGUGGACUCUGUAUGACAUUGGGAGAAUCCUACUUUUUUUUUUUAUGCCAACCCAUUCUGGGGUUGUGAAGGAUACAAGAGAGGGAACCAAGCAUUAUUCAGCCCACCAAUUAGUAUUCUAGUCUUUUCUCUUGGUCUCUGUGGUUGACCACCCUGAUCAUGGCCCCGGCAGGACCACUCAUAUUAGUAAUAGUGGACCUUUUAAUAGGACCUUGCCUGAUCAACUGUCUCAUGACCUAUAUCAGGCAGUGUCUCCAAGCUGUUAAGCUUUCAUUCCUGGGAUCACAUUACUCUCCUUUAUCUGAUGAUGAGUCAAGAAGAGGAGGGAAUGAAGUAGUCCCAAUAAGAGAAGAUAAUGAAAUUGAAGUAGAUAAAGCAGAUCAAUCCCUUCCUGCAUUUUUUAGCAAACAGACCCAGUCCCCUCAGGUCAAGAAGCUUAUGCAGGCUGCAGACUAGACCAUAAUUAUCCUAAGGAUGAGAAUUAGGAAGGUCAGAAAACAAAGGAACAUCGGGAAUAUCAAAGGUCAGGAUGGAAUGCAAGGUAACAGAUAGCUAACUAGGGAUGCGUGAUUAAGUAAAUGUGAAAAUAAACAACCCCUGAAUAACCUGAGGAUUGUCCACCCAUCAUUGACUGCACAUACCUGUGUUUGUGAUAAGGUUUGUUUGUCAAAUAAGAACUUGUAUAUGAAAGGAAAUAACUUUGUAUUGUGUUACCUAUAUAAACUAUCCUGUAAUGUCAGUCUGAUGCAGCUUCCACUAGGGAAGUCUGUCCCAGCUGGUGGAUUCUUUAUUAAUCAAUAAAUAAUGGUUACAAUAAUUGAAUUUUUGGGUGUUUGGACUCACGUUAUGAAGUGCCCCACUUCACCCAUUUGGUAUAAACCUUAUUUUUUUUUCCCCCCAGAGAUCAUCCAGAGUGCCUCACCAGAGCAUGACAGCCCUUCCUCCAGGUUUUUUU